AUUGAACGCUGGCGGUAUGCUUAACACAUGCAAGUCGAACGGUAGAUACUUCGGUAUCGAGAGUGGCGGACGGGUGAGUAACGCGUAGGAAUCUGCCUAGUAGUGGGGGACAACUUAUGGAAACGUAAGCUAAUACCGCAUACGCCCUACGGGGGAAAGCGGGGGAUCUUCGGACCUCGCGCUAUUAGAUGAGCCUGCGUUGGAUUAGCUAGUUGGUGGGGUAAAGGCCUACCAAGGCGACGAUCCAUAGCUGGUCUGAGAGGACGAUCAGCCACACUGGGACUGGGACACGGCCCAGACUCCUACGGGAGGCAGCAGUGGGGAAUAUUGGACAAUGGGCGCAAGCCUGAUCCAGCAAUACCGCGUGUGUGAAGAAGGCCUAGGGUUGUAAAGCACUUUCAAUAGGAAGGAAUACCUAUCGGCCAAUACCCGAUAGACUGACAUUACCUAUACAAGAAGCACCGGCUAACUCCGUGCCAGCCGCCGCGGUAACAC
rnacentral:rRNA from 1 species